rnacentral:rRNA from 1 species
GACGAACGCUGGCGGCGUGCCUAACACAUGCAAGUCGAACGGAGCAGAGACUUCGGUUUUUGCUUAGUGGCGAACGGGUGAGUAACGCGUGAGAAACCUGCCUUUCAGUGGGGGACAACAGUUGGAAACGACUGCUAAUACCGCAUAAUGUAUCGAGAGGGCAUCCUUUUGAUACCAAAGAUUCAUUGCUGAAAGAUGGUCUCGCGUCUGAUUAGCUAGUUGGUGAGGUAACGGCUCACCAAGGCGACGAUCAGUAGCCGGUCUGAGAGGAUGAACGGCCACAUUGGGACUGAGAUACGGCCCAGACUCCUACGGGAGGCAGCAGUGGGGAAUAUUGGGCAAUGGGGGAAACCCUGACCCAGCGACGCCGCGUGAAGGAAGAAGGCCUUCGGGUUGUAAACUUCUUUUACCAGGGACGAAGAACGUGACGGUACCUGGAGAAAAAGCAACGGCUAACUACGAGCCAGCAGCCGCCGUAAAAC